ensembl:lncRNA
AUGAAAGGAACCGCCAAAAGCCAGGUGUUGACAUCAGGGAGACUGACAGGAGGAGUCAGAGGACAGAUCUACAGGAGACGAGGGACUCCUGAUCCAGGAGCGGCCGCCUGUCCUGAACCGGCCUACUCUCUGUACUCCACAUCCACAGAGUCUGAAGAACAGGUCUCUUCUCUCCACAAGGGUCUGGACCGCUGUGCUGCCUUGAUCACUAACAUCCUCCAGGUGGAGAAGGCAGACCCCCCCAUGGCAGCGAAGGGUGGAUCACCAUGUAGCUCAAUCAGGAAGAGAACUAUCAAAAACACAAAGAAAGAUCACAGGGGGCGUCAGCCUGGACCAGGCUUCAAAGCUCAACGUCCUGUUAGAAAACCAUCUACUGAUCCACCUCAGACCUCCACCCAUCCACCUCAAACCUCCAACCAAUUACCUCAGACUUCUUGCCCUCGAUCUCAUGCCUCCAUCCCUCCAUCUCAGACCUCCACCCAUCCACCUUCGACCUCCAUCUGUCCAUCACAGACCUCCAACCACCCACCUCAGACCUCCAUCCCUCCAUGCCAGACCUCCAUCUGUCCAUCUCAGACCUCCAACCAUAUAUCUGAGCCACAGCCCCUCUUCCAUCUACCUGGGAAACAGACCUCCAAUCAACGAUCGCAGUCCUCGAUCCAUCUUUUCCGGACGUCCGUCCAUCCAUCUCAGCCCUCAAUCCAUCCACCCCCCGGACCUCCCUCCAUCCAUCUCCCACACACACUGCAAGGCAGUGUAGCAGAGAGGCUGCUCACUCAUCUGGAGCAGACCGUGUCUUCACCAAUGAUGGAUGCUGGGAGUUCAAACAUAUGGACCGAACCAGAACGAGUGUCCCUUCACAGCCAGAACAAUCUGCUCCGCAGGCGAGUGCGGUUUCUUAACCAGCAGUUGAAGCAGAGGGAGAGAGCAGAGUCUCAUCAGAACCAGGAGAUGUUGUAUAACCCAGAAGUGUGGACUUUGCAGGAGGAGCUCAGCACUGCUCAGUCACAACUGCAAGAAGUCCAGGACGACCUCACAGAGCUACGGAAAGCCCUGGAGGAAACACAGAGCCAGCUGACAGACCGAGAGGCAGAGAAGGCCCUCAUCCAGACAGAAUUGGAGGCCACCCGAAGCAGGUUGCUGGACAGUGAGCGAGAGAGGAGUGAGUUGGCUUCACUUGCCCAGCACAGACUGGAAGACAUAGGAAACCUAAACAGGAUUCUCCAGGAUCCCCCUUCAUCUUCGCUGUCAGACACCAGACACCUCUUCAACCAGCGCAGGCCAGAAUAUGAUCGCGUCCCCCAAUACCUGAUGUCUCUGGGCCAGCUGGAGCCCACCCCCUCUGAGCAUGUGUCUGCCGAGAGAGAAGGAAUCCCAGCACCACACCGUGAGGGAGGAGGCCGAGCGGCUCAUGCAACCCUCCCUUUUCAGAGCUGCCAUGAGGACCAAUCACAUGGUUCUGAUGGGAAGCAGCAGCAGGCCCCGUCCCGCUGCGAUGUGGAGUCACUGUAUUCUGACUGUAGCUCCAGCUCGGGCUCCACCUUCAACACCAAAGACGAGGUGGCGUUUCGAGCCGGCCUGGAGGCUCUGGAUGCCAGCAUAGCUAGUCUGCAGAGGACUAUUCAGCUGGACACGAGGAGGUGA